rnacentral:lncRNA from 1 species
UCUCUCUCAGUCUAACUCACUCGCAUACCCUCUAUCUCUGGUCCUUAGGUACUUGGAACGCAGGAACUUGCUGGCUGGAGGGUGCGAGUGGUCAUGGUUGCAUUGAUGAGUUGACUAUAUAUUAGGAAAUGGCUCAAUGAAGAUGUCUUAUAUGGUAGGAUAUGGGCACAAACUACCCAAUAAGAGUUCAUCAUAGAGUAACUCACCUGCAAUCAUUUGGAUGUGUAGGAUAUGGCACAAACUACAUGCAAAUGAAAAGUAAAUCUCUAAUUCCUUUUCCCAAUUAAAUUGUUUCUCAUUAAAAGACCAUAAAAAAACUAAGACAACACAACAAUUAUCCGAGUUUUGCUUGGUGUUUAUUAGUUUAUUACUUUCAAAUGUUGUAAGAUGCACAAGACCUGGA